rnacentral:lncRNA from 1 species
CUUGGAUAAGCAGAAUUAAUAUUAUCAAAAUGACCAUACUUCCAAAAGCACUACACAUAUUUAAUGCAAUUCUGAUAAAAAUUCCAAUGACAUUCCUCAUAGAAAUAGAAAAAGCAAUCAUGAAAUUCAUCUGGAAAAAUAAGAGACCCAGAAUAGCUAAAGCAAUCCUUAGCAGGAAGAGUGAAACAGGUAGCAUCGCUAUACGAGACCUUAAACUAUACUACAGAGCAAUAGUAACAAAAAUAUCAUGGUAUUGGCACCAAAACAGACUGGUAGACCAAUGGUACAGAAUAGAGGUCACAGACUAACCAAAAAAAUUACAAUUAUCUUAUAUUAGACAAAGGUGCCAAGAAUUCAUUGGAGAAACGAUAGCAUCUUCAACAAAUGGUGCUGGGAAAACUGGAAAUCCAUAUGCAAUAAAAUGAAAUUAAACCCCUAUCUCUUACCAUGCACAAAACUCAACUCAACAUAGAUCAAGGAUUUAGGAAUACAGCCAGAGACCCUAGGUAUUGAAAGGAUAAAAGAAACUGAAGUUAAAAUGUAAAGGACCAGGUAUUGUAAAGUUUCUAAGCUACACUCAAGGCCUGAAAUUCCUCUGGCAGUUAAGACAAUUCCCAGAACUGCCCAUUAGAUAUGUGUCGAAAUCCCCCCACCACCACCACCACUUAGUUGCUUAACAACCUGGACCCUGUGCUGCUCAGCACGUAGGCACCUCAGGGCCUAAACCAAUCAGUUUGAAUGUAUACCCCGCCUUAGGACUGACCUAUAACCCCGCCCGACCUGUUCCCUCCAAUGAAUGUACUAAUCAUGUUUGAGAGCUGUUGUUUGAUUUUCCCGCGGUGUAUGGUGAUUUGUUAAAGGGGACUGUGAUGUAUGUAAAGUCCCUGCCCUCCCUAAAAAAUGUA